AAGGUGGCGAGAUUGUAUUAGGUUUUGCACCCUCUGUUUAGGGAUGUGCACUAAUUUUCGUCUCUUCUCUUACCCUCCUCCUCCCCUGGCUGGCCGGGGAACGGAGGAGGAGCACCAGGACGAGGAGGUGAAGGGAGGCGCAGGGAGAGACGACUCAAGCACGAGGAGGCAAGAGACAAGAAGCAGAGACGCAGGAACAGAAAGGCAGCCAGAUGGUCGAUGCUGUGAAGAGGAGGAAGAUGACUGCAGGAGGCGGUGUGUGUGUGUUGGGGAAGGAGACGACGGCACCACCCCCACACACAGCUGGUUAAGGCCUGCAAGAGAGCCUAGUCAAUGAAGAGGAAAAGAAGACAAGAAUAAAGAAGACAAGAAGAAAGAAGAGGCAAAACAGGAGGAGGGGAUUUUUUUCUGUCUAUACCUGAAGUGUGAUGAAUUUACUAAGGGUAUAUUUAAGCCUGAUAUAACGUACUUUAAGGUAUAUUUAAUGGUACAAGUGUGUAGCCUACUUUUGCCUGGAGUUGGAGACGGUAAAAUGCUCUCCGACUCCUUUAUUGUGGUGCUGUGUGGUUUGUUUACUGUGGUGCGAUGUGGUUCGUUUACUGUGGUGCGGUGUGGUUCGUUAAUUAAGGUGAGGUAUGGUUCGUUUAUUGUAGUGCGGUAUGGUUCGUUUACUGUGGUGCGGUGCGGCUCGUUAAUUAAGGUGAGGUGUGGUCCAUUUAUUGUGGUGUGGUGUGGUUCGUUAAUUAAGGUGAGGUAUGGUUCGUUUACUGUGGUGCGGUGUGGCUCGUUAAUUAAGGUGAGGUGUGGGUCAUUUAUUGUGGUGCGAUGUGGUUCGUUAAUUAAGGUGAGGUAUGGUUCGUUUAUUGUAGUGCGGUAUGGUUCGUUUACUGUGGUGCGGUGUGGCUCGUUAAUUAAGGUGAGGUGUGGUUCAUUUAUUGUGGUGCGAUGUGGUGUUGCGGGCUUUAAUUUCCCUACCACUGCACCAGACAAGGGUAAGGGGGAGGGGGUGGAGUCAAAUUUUUUUAUAUCCGACUCCACACCGUGUUAGAGUGUAAGAGUAUUGAUGGAAUAUAUUUAGGUGCUGGGUGAUACUGUGGCGCUCUCGUCGCAGCAACCCAUUCUGCUUCUGCAUAAUAACCCAUACUGCUGCAUGACGCAUAGCAACUCGUGUUUUUUCCGCUGUUGCAACGACCCGUUCUGCUGCAUGAUGCAUAGCAACCCGUGUUUUUUCCGCUGUUGCAACGACCUCUUCUGCUGCAUGACGCAUAGCAACUCGUGUUUUUUCCGCUGCCGCAACGACCCGUACUGCUAACGCAUAAUGACCUGUGCUGCUUCUGCUAUUGUAACAACUCUUACUGCAAUAACUUACUGCUGCUUCCAUUUAAAAACGUAUAAACGCAUAAACCCGCUGUGUUGCCAACUUGUCAACAACCCAACUAAUGAAUUUUCUGAUCAAAGAUCAAAGAGAGGAUUAGGCCUUCAGGGGACACCUCUUAAAUAAAAACGCGCCUGGGACUUUUACCUCAGAGGUGGUGUGGAAAAAAAGUCCAGUCACGAAAAUAAGUAUCUUAUACUCCAUGAAAGUGUCUCAGUCUUAUGAGAACACAAAGGUUGAGAGGGCUCAAACAUUCUGUUGUUUCCCGCAUAUGCUCCCAUGUUAGCAGUAAGGGUACUAAAUUCUGAUCUCUGUACAAAACAACCAAAUAAUAAGGAAAAGAAAGUUGAAUAAAAUGUUUACCUGCAUUCUACGUCAGCAGCGUAGACGUAACAAGGGUUGAAAAAAUGAGUUACUUAUUACAGCCGCUGGCCAACGUUUUGACCCCAGAGUCUUUGUGUUUGUCUCGGCGUCCUCUGCGCUACACUGCACAGAAUCUGGUUACUGUCCCUCAUGUGUUGUGUCAUUGAGGGAGUGUUUGGGUCAUUUUUAUGUUUUGAUGCCCCUUUCAUGGAUCUAAAUAAUGACAUCCACCUUAAAAUAAAUGUAUGUGUCUGUGGUCAUCCCAAAGCUGAAGGUUGGUAUCUACUCCAUUGUUUUUCAUGUUUUCUCGGACAGUUCAUAUUAUUAGCAAAUGUUUUUACCCGUCCGCUGUGAUUGGCAUGGAUUUCGCCUUCACUGGUAGCCUGGUAACAUGUACUCCCAGAUCAUUCUCUGCCUCUGUGGUGGAUAGUGGAGUGCUUCCCACGUGGUACUGGUGUGCUGGAUAUCCCCUCCCAAGGUGCAGGACUAUAUAUUUUUCUUCACUGAAUUGUAGCAGCCACUUUUUGCUCCACUCCUGUAGCUUGGUGAUGUCUUCUUGUAGGAAAUCCACAGUGAAGGGUUAAAGCAAGUGAGAUUUACCUUCCCAUGCCCAGUGUAAAGAAGGGAAUCUGUAGUUGUUUGAAGGAAUAUUACCAGAUUGAUUAACUA